GUGCUCACUUCAGCAGCACAUAUACUAAAACUGGAACGAUACAGAGAAGAUUAGCAUGGCCCCUGCACAAGGAUGACACACAAAUUCGUGAAGCGUUCCAUAUUUUU
rnacentral:snRNA from 1 species